GUCCUUGUAGCUCAGAUGGAUCAGAGCACGAGCCUCCUAAGCUUGGGGUGGGUGGUUCAAUUCCACUCAAGGACG
rnacentral:tRNA from 1 species